GCAUACAGACACCUUUAAACAAAAAAUAGGGAAUUUAAAUUUGAGCGAUUACAAAGCUUCCAUUCGGAAGCACUAGACAAAUGUGAAAAUUGAAAGAUUGCGAUGCUUCCUUUCGGAAGCAAAAAAAUUAUGACCGUCGGGUCCUAAAGUCGUGUAAUGACGCCCCUGGAGCUGCGUAUCAUCAUGGCUGCGUCGGCUUUGCUGACAGGCAGUUUACACCGAUUUUUACCCUUCAUCCAUAGAAGUAUUAGGAGCACUAAGCUCAGUAGAUUAAUUACUGCAGAGAGUCCUAAUAAAAUUGAUCAGUCACGAAGGUGUAACCAUUGUUCCUCCACAAUGGCAAAGUUUCAGUAUCCGGAGACAAGGAGAGAUGAAGAAUUUUGUGAGAAUUAUCAUGGCGUUGAGGUGAAGGAUCCUUACAGAUGGCUGGAGGACCCCGAGGGAGAGGAGACGAAAGCCUUUGUUGAUGCUCAAAAUGCAAUAACAAGACCUUUUUUGAAUUCCUGUCCAGUGAGACAAGAUAUUCACGAUCGUCUCAAGCAGCUGUGGGACUUUCCCAAAUAUUCGUGCCCUAGGAAACAUGGGGACAAGUAUUAUUUCUAUAAAAACACAGGGUUGCAGAACCAAAGUGUUCUGUAUGUUCAAGACACUUUGGAUUCAGAGCCCAGAGUAUUCCUAGAUCCAAAUACACUGUCGGAAGAUGGUUCUAUCGCCAUUACGAGUACAAAGUUCAGUGAGGAUGGUAGCAUAUUUGCCUAUGGAUUGUCAAGCAGUGGCUCUGACUGGAGUAGUAUCCAUUUUAUCAAUACAAAUACAGGAGAAAAGUAUCCCGAAGUCCUUGAGAAGAUCAAGUACUCACCCUUGACGUGGACACAUGACAACCAGGGAAUAUUCUAUGGAACUUAUCUAGAGCAGAAGGGAGUAACUGAUGGCUCUGAAACACUCUGUGCAAGAGACCAGAAGUUGUGUUACCAUCGAGUGGGAACUCCACAGUCUGAGGACGUCAUCGUUGUAGAAUUCCCCGAGGAGCCCCUCUGGAGAAUUGGAGCAGAAGUAACAGAUUGUGGAAAAUGGUUGAUCAUUACUCCUCUGAAGGAUUGUAGAGAUAACCUGGUGUACUUCACAGCACUCAAGCCAGGAAAGAAAAUCGAUGGAAAACUACAGUUGACUAAAAUAGUUGAGAAAUUCGAAGCUGAUUAUGAAUACAUUACGAAUGAUGGCACCAAAGCAAUCUUCAGAACCAACAAAAAUGCCCCUAAUUACUGUCUCAUAUCCAUCGAUUUGGAGGAUUACGCUGAAUCCAAGUGGACUGUAUUAUUACCAGAGCAUUCAGAAAGAGUUCUGGACUGGGUUGAUGCAGUAGAUGGAGAUAAAUUGAUGGCAUGCUUCAUUGAAGAUGUCAAGCACGUUUUGCAACUGCACAGUCUCAAAACUGGUGAAGUACUGCGAAAAUUUCCACUAGAUCUCGGCACAAUAGUGGGUUACAGUGGUGAUAAGAAGUACUCGGAAGUCUUCUAUCAGUUCACUUCAUUUUUGACCCCAGGAAUUAUCUACAGGGUUGAUCUCAAGAGCGAUGAAGAACCAAAAGUAUUUCGAGAAAUCAAAGUCAAUAAUUUUGAUCCAAAGGCUUACAAAACGUCGCAGGUGUUUUAUACGAGCAAAGAUGGCACUCGAAUUCCCAUGUUCAUCGUUAUGAAGGCGAAUGCUGUCCUGGAUGGAUCUAUGCCUGCACUACUCUAUGGCUAUGGUGGCUUUAAUAUUAGCGUUCAACCGACGUUUAGCGUCACUCGACUUGUAUUUAUUCAGCAUUUCAAUGGACUCCUGGCUGUGGCAAAUAUUCGGGGUGGAGGAGAAUAUGGGGAGAAGUGGCACAACGGUGGACGUUUUCUGAAUAAGCAGAAUACUUUUGACGAUUUUCAAUGUGCAGCUGAAUACUUAAUAGAGAAGAAGUACACAACGUCUAAAAAAUUGACGAUUCAAGGUGGAAGUAAUGGAGGAUUGCUCAUUGCUGCUUGCAUCAAUCAGAGACCUGAUUUAUUCGGUGCAGCUAUUGCAGAAGUUGGAGUUAUGGAUAUGCUUCGUUUCCACAAAUUCACGGUAGGCUAUGCUUGGGUGUCCGACUACGGUAGUUCUGACGAAAAACAACAUUUCGAGAAUCUGAUGAAAUUUUCACCACUCCAUAACGUUCGAGCUCCAGAGAAUGGCACUCAGUACCCUGCAACACUGUUAUUAACUGCUGAUCACGAUGACAGAGUUGUGCCAUUACACAGUUUGAAGUUAAUAGCUACAAUGCAGCAUAAACUUGGGAAGCUGCCGCAACAGAGUAAUCCAAUUUUGGGAAGAAUCGAGACGAAAGCGGGGCACGGGCAUGGUAAACCCACGACUAAAAUCAUUGAAGAACGCACCGAUAUACUAUCAUUCAUGACUCAAACGCUGGGCCUGAAGUUCUACAAAUGAAUAAUAAAACUGAGGAAUUUAUCAUGAAGUGCAAGUUUUUCACGUGGGAAAUAAAUUUUUUUCUGCCCACCACCUGCAAUAUUUUGGACAAGAAGUCGUAUCACGUGUCCAGCACGUGCCAGACGCUUAUCUCGCCAAUAUGAAUACACGAAUACCCACUUUUCCUUACGAUGAAGUUAUUUUAAACGACUCGGAGGAAGGAAAAUCGAAAUUGUAUGGAGGAAAAAAGGGGAAUAUAAAAAUUGAACGACCAGGCCAGAUAUAAAUGAUGAAUUUUUAUAAUACUUGCGAACGGGCGCUUCACGCCCGUCGAUAGAUUAUAUUAUAUUAUAUUUUUAUUAUUUUCUUUCCAAUUUUUUUUGUGGUUAGAUUAAAUUAAAUUUAUUGGA